CAAAGUAGAGCUUGUUAGUGAGCGUUCCAUUUACAUUGGAGGGGUUUUUGUGCAAAUCAAAUAUUUUGA
rnacentral:tRNA from 1 species